GUAGGGUGUCCGAGCAUGCGGCGGAGUUGUAUCCUCGUGUACGGGACAGGUGCCCCCCAACCA
rnacentral:tRNA from 1 species